AGCUUUGCGCAGUGGCAGUAUCGUAGCCAAUGAGGUUUAUCCGAGGCGCGAUUAUUGCUAAUUGAUUUUGCAGUUUUGAC
rnacentral:snRNA from 1 species